rnacentral:rRNA from 1 species
GGUAUUUUGACUAUACAAAGGUAUUGAAAUAAGAUUUUAAUUGAAUGCUAAGAGAAGGGAAUUACAGAAAAAAACUUUCUUAAAUUUAAUAAUUAAAAUUAUUUUUAUUUGUGAAGAAUCAAUAAUUAAAAUUAAGGACAAGAAGACCCUAUGAAUUUUAAAAAAAUUUAGUAAAAAAUUACAAAUUUCAUAUAUUUUUUUUAAUUGGGGCGAUUAAUUAAUAUAAUAAACUUUUUUGUUUAAAUAUGAACCGUUAAUAGCGGUAAAUUGUUAAAAUACUCUAGGGAUAACAGCGUAAUAAUUUUUGAUAGUUCAUAUUGACAAAAUAGUUUGCGACCUCGAUGUUGGAUUAGGAUGUUUUUUUAAUGAAGAAGUUAAAAAAAAAAGUUUGUUCAACUUUCAAAUUCCUA